CAUGAAAGCAGAGACCACCGUCUGCGGAGGCAUGAUUAUUCUAUUGUUCCUUUUAACGAGUAAUCGUUUUACUCGAGUCCUCUUACUAAACCCAACCUCGUUAAGACGUCCGCCACUUCAACUUCUAUCUACAAGUGGCAAAAACUGAAGCUGACCUUCUUCAUGGAGAAACAUGCCGGAAAUGGCAUCCGCACGUGUGAAUAAUUAUACUCAGUGUCCAGGUAGUUUUUUCGAUCAUCCGAUAGAAGUCGUUUCUGUUUUUCAGAGUUCGUUCACGCCUCCAGAAUGUAAAAAUAUCCAAGGAAGUACCAUUAGGAAGCAAUGAAAUUCAGAGCUUCUGUGGUUAUUCCUUUUUCUGAUUGUUUCUUUUCUUUGCCCAAAAUGGAUGAUUUCUAUAUCAAAUUGUUUAUUCGUAUUUUUUUUUUAAUAUUCCUUGAGAUUUUCAAUCAACUCGAUUUCGAAUUUUUUACCAUCCGAUCUUCUGGUUGACGUCGUUAAGAAAGAGGAACGAGUGCACAGGAAGCAUGGUCGGCGUGAGCAUGAUUAGAUCCGGUCUGCCCGAUGACCUUGCCAGUGAUAAUAGCGGUUCGUUAAGGUGGUUGCAGUCUUGGUUUGCUUCUGUUUCGAUUUCCAGCGAACUCGUCAGCCGGCAUGGCUUCCGAGAUGCUCCCCCUGAAACAAGUCGAAAAGAAAUAAUUAAUGGACUCUCUGUUCGAUUGUACGUGGAUGACAAGCUGACCGUAAAAAGAAAUAUACAAAUACGAUUAGAAAAUAUAA